AUCCACAUGGUGAAUCCAGAAUAGGACGAAACGCGUGUCCUGGAU
rnacentral:hammerhead_ribozyme from 1 species